rnacentral:lncRNA from 1 species
GGCUGAGGUAGGAGAAUCGCUUGAACCCGGGAGGUGGAGGUUGCGAUGAGCCAAGAGAUCGUGCCAUUGCACUCCAGCUGGGCAACAAGAGCAAAACUCCAUCUAAAAAAAAAUAAAAUAAAAUACAGGUUGAGUUCCAUUGAAUGAUGCAGUACCAGGAGUUGUAUUCUAUUUGGGGAGGGGAAGCCAAGUUGCAAUCACCAUUGCAAUCAGAAAGCAUUCAGAAGAAAGGGGCCAUUUGGGGCUCCAGCAUUGUGUUGGAUUUCUUUUCUAGGGAGUGCAAUUUUAGACAUGUUGAGUUUGAAAUGCCUUUUAGAUAUUCAAGCAGAGAUUUCAAGUGGGCAGUUGAAAUUGUUUCUGGAGCUCAAGGCAGGGGAUGGGGCUGUAGAUAUGAAUUUGGAAUGAUCACAUAGCUGGCACUGAACUGGAUGAGAUGACCGUGAGAUGAGAGGAGAGGACCAAGGGCUGAGCCUUGGGCUGAUAUUAAGCGGCCAGUGAGAACAAGUAGCCACAACCUUUGCCCUUUUCUCUCUACUUUUCUCCAUCUUGCUGUCAGAAACUCAGAUUUGGUGAAUGCCAUCAAGAACCUUAGGAACAAGCAGGGGCCUGGCCCUCGGGAUGACAGAACAGUGAGCUGCUGGCCUCGGAUUAGAUUCCAGCUGAAUCCAAUUCCUAACUGAUAGAGUAACGAUACUGAGCAACUCCUGGCAAAAUUGAUCAAGACAAAGAAAGGGAGGUGGCACAAAUAAACAAUGUUAGGCUUGAAGAAAGGGACUUAACUAUAGUUGUUGCUGAGAUUUAAAAGAUAAUAGGGCCAGGCGUGGUACAUGCCUGUAGUCCCUGCUUCUCGGGAGGCUGAGGCAGGAGAAUCACUUGAACCCGGGAGGCGGAGGUUGCAGCGAGCCAAGAUCAUGCCAUUGCACUCCAGCCCGGACGACAGAGUGAGACUCCGUCUCAAAAAAAAAAAAAAAAAAAGUACUGGAAAAUCUCAUUAAAUUAGUGCUGGCUGCCUGGAUGUUCAUUACAUUUUUUUUUUUUUUUUUUUUUGGAUACUGAGUCUUGCUCUAUCACCCAGGCUGGAGUGCAGUGGCGCAAUCUCGGCUCACUGCAAGCUCCAUCUCCCAGGUUCAC